AAAGAAAGAUUAAUACCCGAUGUCAUAGUCCUACCGCAUGAUGGGAUUAUUAAAGAAUUUCGGUAUGGGAUGGGGAUGCGUUCCAUUAGUUAGUUGGCGGGGUAACGGCCCACCAAGACAACGAUGGAUAGGGGUUCUGAGAGGAAGGUCCCCCACAUUGGAACUGAGACACGGUCCAAACUCCUACGGGAGGCAGCGGUGAGGAAUAUUGGUCAAUGGACGAGAGUCUGAACCAGCCAAGUAGCGUGAAGGAUGACUGCCCUAUGGGUUGUAAACUUCUUUUAUAUGGGAAUAAAAUGUUCCACGUGUGGGAUUUUGUAUGUACCAUAUGAAUAAGGAUCGGCUAACUCCGUGCCAGCAGCCGCGGUAAUACGGAGGAUCCGAGCGUUAUCCGGAUUUAUUGGGUUUAAAGGGAGCGUAGGUGGAUUGUUAAGUCAGUUGUGAAAGUUUGCGGCUCAACCGUAAAAUUGCAGUUGAAACUGGCAGUCUUGAGUACAGUAGAGGUGGGCGGAAUUCGUGGUGUAGCGGUGAAAUGCUUAGAUAUCACGAAGAACUCCGAUUGCGAAGGCAGCUCACUGGACUGCAACUGACACUGAGGCUCGAAAGUGUGGGUAUCAAACAGGAUUAGAUACCCUGGUAGUCCACACAGUAAACGAUGAAUACUCGCUGUUUGCGAUAUACGGCAAGCGGCCAAGCGAAAGCAUUAAGUAUUCCACCUGGGGAGUACGCCGGCAACGGUGAAACUCAAAGGAAUUGACGGGGGCCCGCACAAGCGGAGGAACAUGUGGUUUAAUUCGAUGAUACGCGAGGAACCUUACCCGGGCUUAAAUUGCACCUGAAUAAUGUGGAAACAUGUUAGCCGUAAGGCAGGUGUGAAGGUGCUGCAUGGUUGUCGUCAGCUCGUGCCGUGAGGUGUCGGCUUAAGUGCCAUAACGAGCGCAACCCUUAUCUUCAGUUACUAACAGGUCAUGCUGAGGACUCUGGAGAGACUGCCGUCGUAAGAUGUGAGGAAGGUGGGGAUGACGUCAAAUCAGCACGGCCCUUACGUCCGGGGCUACACACGUGUUACAAUGGGAGGUACAGAAGGCCGCUACCUGGCGACAGGAUGCCAAUCCCCAAAACCUCUCUCAGUUCGGAUCGAAGUCUGCAACCCGACUUCGUGAAGCUGGAUUCGCUAGUAAUCGCGCAUCAGCCAUGGCGCGGUGAAUACGUUCCCGGGCUUUGCAC
rnacentral:rRNA from 1 species